rnacentral:rRNA from 1 species
AUUGAACGCUGGCGGCAUGCCUUACACAUGCAAGUCGAACGGCAGCAUGGAGAGCUUGCUCUCUGAUGGCGAGUGGCGAACGGGUGAGUAAAGCAUCGGAACGUACCGUGUAGUGGGGGAUAACGUAGCGAAAGUUACGCUAAUACCGCAUACGCACUGAGGUGGAAAGCAGGGGAUCGUAAGACCUUGCGCUAUACGAGCGGCCGAUGUCAGAUUAGCUAGUUGGUAGGGUAAAGGCCUACCAAGGCGACGAUCUGUAGCGGGUCUGAGAGGAUGAUCCGCCACACGGGGACUGAGACACGGCCCAGACUCCUACGGGAGGCAGCAGUGGGGAAUUUUGGACAAUGGGGGCAACCCUGAUCCAGCCAUGCCGCGUGAGUGAAGAAGGCCUUCGGGUUGUAAAGCUCUUUCGCCCGGGAAGAAAUCGCACAGGCUAAUACCCUGUGUGGAUGACGGUACCGGCAUAAGAAGCACCGGCUAACUACGUGCCAGCCGCCGCGGUAA